AAGCCCUUCGGGGUGGAUUAGUGGCGAACGGGUGAGUAACACGUGGGCAAUCUGCCCUUCACUCUGGGACAAGCCCUGGAAACGGGGUCUAAUACCGGAUAACACUCUGUCCCGCAUGGGACGGGGUUAAAAGCUCCGGCGGUGAAGGAUGAGCCCGCGGCCUAUCAGCUUGUUGGUGGGGUAAUGGCCUACCAAGGCGACGACGGGUAGCCGGCCUGAGAGGGCGACCGGCCACACUGGGACUGAGACACGGCCCAGACUCCUACGGGAGGCAGCAGUGGGGAAUAUUGCACAAUGGGCGAAAGCCUGAUGCAGCGACGCCGCGUGAGGGAUGACGGCCUUCGGGUUGUAAACCUCUUUCAGCAGGGAAGAAGCGAAAGUGACGGUACCUGCAGAAGAAGCGCCGGCUAACUACGUGCCAGCAGCCGCGGUAAUACGUAGGGCGCAAGCGUUGUCCGGAAUUAUUGGGCGUAAAGAGCUCGUAGGCGGCUUGUCACGUCGGAUGUGAAAGCCCGGGGCUUAACCCCGGGUCUGCAUUCGAUACGGGCUAGCUAGAGUGUGGUAGGGGAGAUCGGAAUUCCUGGUGUAGCGGUGAAAUGCGCAGAUAUCAGGAGGAACACCGGUGGCGAAGGCGGAUCUCUGGGCCAUUACUGACGCUGAGGAGCGAAAGCGUGGGGAGCGAACAGGAUUAGAUACCCUGGUAGUCCACGCCGUAAACGUUGGGAACUAGGUGUUGGCGA
rnacentral:rRNA from 1 species